GGCCCUGUAGCAUAAUGGAUAGUGCAGCAGCCUUCUAAGCUGUUGAUCCAGGUUCGAUUCCUGGCGGGGCUACCA
rnacentral:tRNA from 1 species